GGGAGGAGUCUGCUAGCUUCUUUCUGCCAAGAUGAGCUGCGGUAGUCCUUUUCCUCCCUCCCCUCCUUUCUUUCUUCCCUCGUUUCUUUUCUUUUUCUUCCAUGUCAUUACGGAGAAGGGCACUGGAGGCUUACUGAAGAGCUUUGAGAAAUAGCAUAGAAGGCCCAGAGCAUUACUUGUUUCCAGAUGAUCAAGCUAAGGCUGUACCCUGGCUAUGAAUAGCCCAGCCUCCUGUGGUGUCCAAGCCUGGAGA
rnacentral:lncRNA from 1 species